rnacentral:lncRNA from 1 species
UUUCAUGAAUUCUGCAUCCGAGAUUGCUGUAUCAUUGGGAAAAAGCAGACUUGGCAUUUCUGUAAAGAGAAGGUUGAUUUGAAGAGGAUGAUCAGUAAUCCCUGGGAGCUCACACAUUUUCCUGUAUGGACAAAUGCUGGAUUGGCUUGUUUUAUUUGGUGGCCUGGUAACCUAUGGUAAUAGGAAUAGGUCAAAGCAUUAAGUAUUUACUAGGGCCGGAA